UCUGGUAAACCAUCCAAUCGUGCAAGUUUAUGGAAGCAUGCACGUCUAAAGAAAACAACAAAUGAUUAUUCGAAUGAUCAGACUCGACGUGUUGCACAAAAGAUUGAUGAGUUAGAAAGUAAACAUGAAGGUGAUGAUGUUYUAACAGAAGCKUUGGGAACACCGGAGCAUUGUGGACGGGUGCGGGGCGUAGGUGMUUUUGUUUYACCUUCCUACUAUUUCAAUCAGGUAAAGGGUAGGUCAAACAUGGRAGGAACUUUAGUAAGCCAACCAAGUCCAGUACCAAUUCAACYGCGCGAACAAACUCCCAUAAAUCAACAAACUYCACCUUCSUCCAGAGCCAGUCGAAAGAGUACUCCAAUGGAAAAGAAUAUCGAAGAAUGCAAUAAACCUGAAGGUCCAGCAGARUUGCCAUUAAAAG